AUUGAACGCUGGCGGCAGGCUUAACACAUGCAAGUCGAGCGGAGAUGAGGUGCUUGCACCUUAUCUUAGCGGCGGACGGGUGAGUAAUGCUUAGGAAUCUGCCUAUUAGUGGGGGACAACAUUCCGAAAGGAAUGCUAAUACCGCAUACGCCCUACGGGGGAAAGCAGGGGAUCUUCGGACCUUGCGCUAAUAGAUGAGCCUAAGUCGGAUUAGCUAGUUGGUGGGGUAAAGGCCUACCAAGGCGACGAUCUGUAGCGGGUCUGAGAGGAUGAUCCGCCACACUGGGACUGGGACACGGCCCAGACUCCUACGGGAGGCAGCAGUGGGGAAUAUUGGACAAUGGGGGGAACCCUGAUCCAGCCAUGCCGCGUGUGUGAAGAAGGCCUUAUGGUUGUAAAGCACUUUAAGCGAGGAGGAGGCUACUGAGACUAAUACUCUUGGAUAGUGGACGUUACUCGCAGAAUAAGCACCGGCUAACUCUGUGCCAGCAGCCGCCGUAAAAC
rnacentral:rRNA from 1 species